rnacentral:rRNA from 1 species
UGGACAGAAAGACCCUAUGAAGCUUUACUAUAAUUUGAUAUUGAUUUUAAAUUAUUGUUGUGUAGUCUAAGUGGGAAGUUAAUAUAAAUUUUUUUUAAUUCUAACUAUAAAUUGAAAAACCACUCUUCUUUAAUUUAAAUUCUUAAAGCUAUUUUUGAAUCAAAAAGCUUGACAGUAUCUGAUGGGUAGUUUGACUGGGGCGGUCACCUCCUAAAAAGUAACGGAGGUGUACAAAGGUUUUCUCAAACAGGACAGAAAUCUGUUUUUGAGCAUAAAGGUAAAAGAAAGCUUGACUGUAAGAAUUACAAUUCAAGCAGGGGCGAAAGCCGGUCUUAGUGAUCCGACGAUUCUAUGUGGAAAGGUCGUCGCUCAACGAAUAAAAGUUACUCUAGGGAUAACAGGCU